rnacentral:tRNA from 1 species
GGAGGUAUGGCUCAGUAGUAGAGUGCCUGCAUAACAAUAGCAAGUGUGAGGCCCUGGGUUCAAAGCCCCAUACCUCCA